rnacentral:rRNA from 1 species
GGAUUGGCGCAUCGGUCGUGCCUCACGGGGUAUGAACUGGUGCAGUCAAUUUCUCACCUUCUGGUGAGUCGGCAUGUCCUUUAUUGGGUGUGUCGGGGAACCAGGACCAUUACCUUGAAAAAAUUAGAGUGUUCAAAGCAGGCGUAUGCUCGAAUACAUUAGCAUGGAAUAAUGAAAUAGGACGCGUGGUGCUAUUUUGUUGGUUUCUAGAACCGCCGUA